GUUAAAUUGUCAGUUUUGGUCUUACAGUUUGGCUGAAGUACCUGAAGAUGGAGGCAGUAUGUCCCUCAGUAAAGUCGAUGCCCACACGGAUUCACAACCCAGAACAGCACCACGGAUAACUUCACCCCCGUGUGAACUCCAUAUCUCAUAAAUAUUGUUCACGUGAUCAAAUUAAAAUAUGAGGAUGGUACGACAGCCUGAGGGCUCUGGAAACGCGUCGAAGCAGAUCACCAAUCCGAAGCAGCUCUUCAUUGCAGUUCUUCUCCUAAUCACCACGGAUUCUCUCAAUUCAGCAAACUAAAACUAUCAUCAAGUCUGGACCAACAAGAUGUUUGGAGUCGUCCGAUUUAAUAUGAUAUUUCAAAGUCACUACAACAAGACUCUACAUUUGGGGUCCUCUGUUUAUGGUCUUAACAACACAGCAUGAAUGAAAUAAAUCUUUUGAGUUCGUCCGUAAAAGAUUUCAUUUUUCCAGUAACAUUAUACGCUACACAGUUGUUCUUAAAGGCCUAAAAAUAUCACCUCCUUUAUAAAUUCAGGUGGAAACUUGUAAAAAUAUUAAGUUCACUGACGAGACUAAUGAUACUGACUUUUCACUGUAAUAUACGUUCAUACAUUCGUUUAGAAACAUACAUAUUAAAUAUCUUUAAAAUAAUAAUAUAAAAUUGUAUAUAAUACGAUAAACUCAAAGCACUAUAACACUACAGAGUUAGUUUAAUUUUAAUUUUUGUAUCUAAAUAAAUUAUUUUGUCCUGUAUUAAUUAACUUAAUUCAACUUUAACGGUUGAAACACAUGAGGACGUCAAAUA